rnacentral:misc_RNA from 1 species
CAACACUCAAGCUCUGCUUGGUCUUGAGCCCCGCCGGCGACGGCAGGCUUUAAAAUCAGUGGCGGCGCCACCUGGCUCUAAGCGUAGUAAUACACCCCGCUACAGUGCCCGGUGACUGCUUGCCAGCAACCCCCAACUUCUAA